CGGACGGGUGAGUAAUGCUUGGGAAUCUGGCUUAUGGAGGGGGAUAACUACGGGAAACUGUAGCUAAUACCGCGUAAUAUCUUCGGAUUAAAGGGUGGGACUUUCGGGCCACCUGCCAUAAGAUGAGCCCAAGUGGAUUAGGUAGUUGGUGGGGUAAAGGCCUACCAAGCCGACGAUCUCUAGCUGGUCUGAGAGGAUGACCAGCCACACUGGAACUGAGACACGGUCCAGACUCCUACGGGAGGCAGCAGUGGGGAAUAUUGCACAAUGGGGGGAACCCUGAUGCAGCCAUGCCGCGUGAAUGAAGAAGGCCUUCGGGUUGUAAAGUUCUUUCGGUGAUGAGGAAGGCAGGUAAGUUAAUAGCUUACUUGAUUGACGUUAGUCACAGAAGAAGCACCGGCUAACUCCGUGCCAGCAGCCGCGGUAAUACGGAGGGUGCGAGCGUUAAUCGGAAUGACUGGGCGUAAAGGGCACGCAGGCGGUGACUUAAGUGAGAUGUGAAAGCCCUGGGCUUAACCUGGGAAUUGCAUUUCAUACUGGGUCGCUAGAGUAUUUUAGGGAGGGGUAGAAUUCCACGUGUAGCGGUGAAAUGCGUAGAGAUGUGGAGGAAUACCGAAGGCGAAGGCAGCCCCUUGGGAAUAUACUGACGCUCAUGUGCGAAAGCGUGGGGAGCAAACAGGAUUAGAUACCCUGGUAGUCCACGCUGUAAACGCUGUCGAUUUGGGGAUUGGGCUUUGAGCUUGGUGCCCGUAGCUAACGUGAUAAAUCGACCGCCUGGGGAGUAC
rnacentral:rRNA from 1 species